rnacentral:rRNA from 1 species
GUGGGGAAUUUUGGACAAUGGGCGCAAGCCUGAUCCAGCAAUGCCGCGUGCAGGAAGAAGGCCUUCGGGUUGUAAACUGCUUUUGUACGGAACGAAACGGUUCUCUCUAAUACAGGGAGCUAAUGACGGUACCGUAAGAAUAAGCACCGGCUAACUACGUGCCAGCAGCCGCGGUAAUACGUAGGGUGCAAGCGUUAAUCGGAAUUACUGGGCGUAAAGCGUGCGCAGGGGGUUUUGUAAGACAGAGGUGAAAUCCCCGGGCUCAACCUGGGAGCUGCCUUUGUGACUGCAAGGCUGGAGUGCGGCAGAGGGGGAUGGAAUUCCGCGUGUAGCAGUGAAAUGCGUAGAUAUGCGGAGGAACACCGAUGGCGAAGGCAAUCCCCUGGGCCUGCACUGACGCUCAUGCACGAAAGCGUGGGGAGCAAACAGGAUUAGAAACCCGUGUAGUCC